rnacentral:RNase_P_RNA from 1 species
AUAGUAGGUUGUCUUAUCGCCGCGUAUUUAUACGAGGAGGAAAGUCCGAGCACCAUAGAACAGCAUAGCGGAUAACAUCCGUCGCUCUAACUUGUUAGAGUAGGACAAGUGCAACAGAAAGCAAGUACAGUUCGGCUGUAGUGAAACCAGGUAAACUCUAUGCGGUACAAUGCCAUGUAUAUUGGAGACCUUUUAGUAGGUAAGAGUUGUUCGCUCAAUUCCAAGGGGUAGGCAGAUUGAGAUUGUUGGUAACAGCAAUUCUAGAUAAAUGAUAAGAAGCUUGAACUUGUUUCAAGUUACAGAACUCGGCUUAUAAACCUACUUUUAAU